ensembl:antisense Gm16552 predicted gene 16552
CUGAAAAGGAAGUCAUUCCGGUCCACAGCAGGGCUAACAGUUCACAGUAUUUGUGUGCCCACCCUCCUUUUCUGCUGCACUGGACAACCUGGAAAAAGAAGCAAACCUCCAUUCAUCUUUUUAAAGAAUCCUGGUCUAACUGAUACAAAGGUACAAAAUGAAUCCAUGCUUGGUGGGGACAUAUAACUGUAAUCUAAGAGAUAGUGAAACAGCCGGGCGUGGUGGUGCACGCCUUUAAUCCCAGCACUUGGAAGGCAGAGAAAGUUCUUAAAAAGUGAGAGGGUUGGUAAGAAGGCUUAAAGAGAAAGGCAUUUGCCCCCGGUCUGGCAUCUGGCAGGUAACCUGGAUUCCAUCUCGCUGGCCCACAACCAGCUCCUCCAAGUUGUCCUGGGAUCUUCAAUCACACAACUGUGAAAUUUACCAACACACACACACACAUUCAUUUAUUCUCUCUCUCUCUCUCAAAAUGUAAUUUAUUUUGUAUUUUAUGUAUGCUGGUGUCUUGCCUGCAUAUGUAAGGAAGUCAGAUCCCUGGAACAGGAGUUACAGACAGUUGCGAGCUGUCUUGUAGGUGCUUGGAGCUUAACCCCAGUCCACUGGAAGAGUGGCCAGUGCUCUUAACCACUAAACCAUUUCUCCAGGCCCUGCAAAUGUAAUUUUAAAGAAAAAAAAAAGGUGUUUAAAG